rnacentral:rRNA from 1 species
AGAGUUUGAUUCUGGCUCAGAACGAACGCUGGCGGCGUGGAUAAGACAUGCAAGUCGAACGAGAGAAUUGCUAGCUAGCUAAUAAUUCUCUAGUGGCGCACGGGUGAGUAACACGUGAGUAACCUGCCCCCGAGAGCGGGAUAGCCCUGGGAAACUGGGAUUAAUACCGCAUAGUAUCGAAAGAUUAAAGCAGCAAUGCGCUUGGGGAUGGGCUCGCGGCCUAUUAGUUAGUUGGUGAGGUAACGGCUCACCAAGGCGAUGACGGGUAGCCGGUCUGAGAGGAUGUCCGGCCACACUGGAACUGAGACACGGUCCAGACACCUACGGGUGGCAGCAGUCGAGAAUCAUUCACAAUGGGGGAAACCCUGAUGGUGCGACGCCGCGUGGGGGAAUGAAGGUCUUCGGAUUGUAAACCCCUGUCAUGUGGGAGCAAAUUAAAAAGAUAGUACCACAAGAGGAAGAGACGGCUAACUCUGUGCCAGCAGCCGCGGUAAUACAGAGGUCUCAAGCGUUGUUCGGAAUCACUGGGCGUAAAGCGUGCGUAGGCUGUUUCGUAAGUCGUGUGUGAAAGGCGCGGGCUCAACCCGCGGACGGCACAUGAUACUGCGAGACUAGAGUAAUGGAGGGGGAACCGGAAUUCUCGGUGUAGCAGUGAAAUGCGUAGAUAUCGAGAGGAACACUCGUGGCGAAGGCGGGUUCCUGGACAUUAACUGACGCUGAGGCACGAAGGCCAGGGGAGCGAAAGGGAUUAGAUACCCCUGUAGUCCUGGCAGUAAACGGUGCACGCUUGGUGUGCGGGGAAUCGACCCCCUGCGUGCCGGAGCUAACGCGUUAAGCGUGCCGCCUGGGGAGUACGGUCGCAAGAUUAAAACUCAAAGAAAUUGACGGGGACCCGCACAAGCGGUGGAGUAUGUGGCUUAAUUCGAUGCAACGCGAAGAACCUUACCUGGGCUUGACAUGUAAUGAACAACAUGUGAAAGCAUGCGACUCUUCGGAGGCGUUACACAGGUGCUGCAUGGCCGUCGUCAGCUCGUGUCGUGAGAUGUUUGGUUAAGUCCAGCAACGAGCGCAACCCCUGUUGCCAGUUACCAGCACGUGAAGGUGGGGACUCUGGCGAGACUGCCCAGAUCAACUGGGAGGAAGGUGGGGACGACGUCAGGUCAGUAUGGCCCUUAUGCCCAGGGCUGCACACGUACUACAAUGCCCAGUACAGAGGGGGCCGAAGCCGCGAGGCGGAGGAAAUCCUAAAAACUGGGCCCAGU